rnacentral:lncRNA from 10 species
CAAACUUCUAAAGUCAACAUUCCUUUAAUUGUGAGCAAGAAUAAAUGGGCUUCUAUUAUACACACAUAAAAAAUUCCCAUUGUUUCUAAUAUCUCUCAUUAGAUAUUAGGCAACAUGGGGAAUCAAAUAAGUACCUUUAAUUUUCAUCUCAGAUGUGAGAAAACUGGAACUUAGAAAAGCAAAGUAAAUGCUCAUGGUCACACUACUGUUAAGAUAAAUCUGGGAUUUAAAUGUAGGUCUCUCUGAUUAUAAAACUCAUGUUCUUUCUCUUGCAGGAUGCUGCCAGUGACCCCAGAGCCUUUUGUUUUCCUCCAAUAUUCUCAGUGCUUUAAAUAUUUAAUGAUCCUUCAACGUCUCUCUGAAUGCACUCCAAAUUAUGGAAGUCCUGGUUGAGAGUGGGGCCUGGAGCAGUUUAGAACCCUCUAAUCAAAGACAUGGUAAUUAGAAACCAGGAAGACUGAGAAGGAAUCAAAUUUGCAGCAGCUCAGUAAGUGGUAGACUGGGAACAAGAAGCCAGUUCUCUGGGCUCUUGAAGCAAGGCCCUGCCACGUUGUCUUUCCCCAGGAGAGGAGGUCAUAAGACAUUCAUUCCAGAGAGAGUCCUGCCCCACCUCUGAGAAGGAAGGAAUGUACACUCAAGAGAGAUCAAGAAGAAUCUAAACAAACAGGCCCUUCUGCGUUUUCCCACAAGAGAAAAUGAUCUAAUUAACAUUCGAUCAUAACUUUUUGUCCAAUUAUAUUUCUACACUGCUGUUCAUACUUUAUUUAACCUAGGCAUAAAAAUUGACAAUUUUUAUUGUAUUUUU